rnacentral:sRNA from 1 species
UGCUUAUUUUAGCGUAGUUGUCUUUAGAAAUUCUAAAACAAGAUUGCUAGAUUUCUUAUUCUCCUUAGCAUAGAUAUUUGAAAGUAUUAAUAAUUACUGUUUUUAAAAAACUAUUGAUCAUAUAUGUUUUAUGUUAGUUUUUCUAUUAUCUACAUUUUACCAGAAUAACCUAUUUUUAAGAAUUGCAGUCAAUGUAGAAGGAAAAGAUAACAAUUUCAGUGUCCAUCCUUUUUGUAGUGAUGAGGAAUUUAAAUCCACCUUCAUCAAACUGGGAGGUGGAAAAGUUGAGCUGUGACCUGAAGAUCCAUGGUUUGCAACAAGAGCUGGAACUGAUGAGGAAAGAAUGUAGCGAUCUCAAAAUAGAACUACAGAAAGCCAAACAAACGGAUCCAUAUCAGGAAGACAAUCUGAAGAGCAGAGAUCUCCAAAAACUAAGCAUUUCAAGACAGAGUAUCUGUAGCACAGCCUGGAGUGCAGUGGCGCAAUCAUGGGAUAGCAUGAAUUUUGAGGACUGUUCCCUCUUCGCAUAAGAAUAGAAGUAGCCAUCAGAGUUCAUAUACUUUUUCAACCCUUUUUCCUCAAAUACGUAUCAUUUUUACUUAAGUAACUUCAGUUCUGUGUUUUAAGCUAUCUAAUAAUUGUUGUUUCUACUAUGUUAAGAUAGCCUCUCUACAUUGUUACCCUCCAUCCAAUAAAAAAUACUGAUCUGA